ensembl:lncRNA
GUACAAAUUCCGCUGAGCAAAAGAAUAAGAGUUGCUGAACAGCAGCCAAGAGACUAACCCAGCAACAGCUGACAUGGAUACACGUCUUGUCUCCACAUUUGAAGGUGAAGAGAAACCCAAGUUGCCAGAGCUCAGAGGUAGGACAGCUGUAAAGCCUCCUGCUUCAGUUAAUGAAGUGUGUGGUGCUCCCAGCUUUGAGAAGAACAUCCAUCCAGAAUUUGAGCCCUGCAGUGCUCCAGGAUUUGAGGACUGCAUUCCACCACAUUUUGAUUAUCCCACACCCCUAGAGUUUGACUGUGCUCCUGCAGAGUUUGAUGACUGCAGUCUCCUAGGGUCUGACAACUUGAACAAUGAAGGCUAUGCUAUUACACCACGUCUGCAAGAUGCAAAGUCUCCUGCAAAUGCAGUGCAGGAGUUCAUUCCAUUCAGUAUGUUUCGUUCAGAAGGGGAUACACAGAGGACAAGUUUGGACAUUCAGACUAUUAGAUUUGCCAGAAAACGUGUUGGCAGGAUUGGGAUGAGAUUUGGAUUCUUUCCUUCUCUCUCAUCUGGCUUUGAGCUAACCUUGUAAUUCUGCUGUUGCUCAGAGAAACCUGAUUUUUUGCUUGCUUUGAAGAAUUGGCUGAAAGUCUGAAGAGAAAUCUCUCUGGAGAUUAGUUUGUUUUCCAGGGACAAUUCCUUUCUCUACCCUUUGUGUUUCUGAAGGUCUUCCAGGUGGACCCAUUUGGAAUCCCUUGGAAAACAGACAUAAUUAACCAUGAGAAGAGUUCGGUCACUGCAUCUUUACUUACGAUAAAAGGUGUCACUUUUGUACCUAUCUUGUGUGGUCCACACACUUGUGUGAAUGGAUGAGGAAGAGGGUGAACACCUUGACAGACUGAUGGACAUGAGCAGUUUGCCUAAGCCUUCAGAUAAUACAUACCAUCAAGAAAGCUGCAGUUUAGGCAUGAUUUUGAUGCUGGCCAUUGAGGUAGAGUCAGUUCAAACCAUAGAAGGGAAGUGUACUCUACCGAAGAUGAUGCAGCAGUUUUUGACGAGGAACUGCAAUCAGGAUAACUGCCUGUCUUUAAAACCCUUACCCCUCCAACUGUGCUCAGAAAGGAGAGGUUAGAUAUUUUUUGGAGGGGAUCACCUGCUAGCUCACAUUCAGGCUUAUCACAGCAAAUACUUGGUUUGAAGGCAAAACUCUUCAGUCCGCAGUGUGAGUUUAUGAGUAUUCAUGGUGUAAAAUUGAACUCCUAAUGGGUACUUGUUGGGAAAGAUGAAGAAGCUGCUUCAGCUGUUUACUAGCCAGAAUCCACUGAAUAGAGCCUUAGACUCACUGAGAAGCAUCAUGAUUUGGUGACAGUGAAUGACAUUUCUGGAGAUGCCCAGUCUGACAUCUUCUUUGGAAAAAUUAUGAUCUGAUGAUGACAAAGUGUCUGAAACCAGAGCAAGAAAGCUAAAAUGCUACUAAAAUUUUGAGUCAGAGGAUGGAUGGAUGAAGAUCUUAUUCCAAAUGGGCAGUGCGCUUGGAGCUUCCUCCUGCCUGCAGGGGGAAAGCUCAGUCACACUGGCAAAGUCCUGACUGCUUUUUCAGCAAGGCUUCAGUUUGCAGUGUGGCCAACAGGGGCUGUGCCAUCUGCGACAUGAGCUGGAUGGCUUUGUGCUGCAAAGAAACGUGCAGGUAUCUGCUGUUAAGCUACAGCAGUACAAGUACAGCAGAUGUGAGCAUGCAGCUCUGGUGAGGGAAGGAGCAACUGUGGCUGUGGACCUGAGAGCUGAAAUUUCCCAGCUUCCAUGUGUCACUACCAUUCCUUCUGAAACACUGGUUUUAUGUGCUCUUCUUAAAUGGUUUUCUAUGCAGAUGUAGUUCUACACAAGAUAACUAGAGCAAUGUCCUUGAAGAUACCCCAUUUUGUCUAGUUGAGGUACUUGCUAUAGCUUCCAGAUGUGUUGCUUAUCACUGAUAAAUGUCCUUUCUAACCACCAGGCUUCUAUAAUAACAGCAACAUCCUCUAAAUGGGGGCUGAAGUCCCAAACAGUAACCAAUCAUUGGAAACUAAGUGGAGACCAAGUGCCCUUAGAAAACCUGUGUCCUCGCAUGGACAGCGUGAGGAGGACACCUCCCCAGAUGACCACCGACCCCUGCACAAGCACAGAAGAUUCGGAUACGUUUGCAUAACCUUGUAAUUGCAGUAAUCUCAUGAAUAUGUAAUAGAUAGAUGCCUUAUGUAGUGGAUAGGUGUGUACUGAGAACUGCUGGGUUAUAAAUAGUGGAGAGUGCGAUGACUCAGAUCCACUUGAUUUGUGGAGAUUACUCACCUUGAGUGCUGUGCAGAAAUAAAGCAAUGUUUCCUCUCUAAUCACUUGUCUUUUCAAUGUGUUUCAGGACAUUUUGAAAUCGACAUCACCACCACCGUUCCUUCUUACGUGCUUUUCUUAAGCGGUGAGGUUUUCUACGCUCUGGGUUUGCAGAGGGUUUCUUUAUGCUGGGUCAGGAGGAAUGUGAAAGCCUCGUUGGGGUUUCAGGGCCCUUCAGCCCAGGUGCUUCACCCUACCUCCAUCUCAUGCAUAAAUUCUGUCCUCAAGACUGGAGCAGCACCAAGGUGAUGCUCCGAAUGAUGGCAGAGGGAGCUGGGGCUUUAUGUGAUGCUCCUUGGGGGAGCAUGUUGCCAUCCCUGCUGUCCUAUCCAGUGAGGCUAGGGGAGCUCCAAGGGGCUGGGUGUGUGCAGGUGGCUUCACUGGGAGGUUUGACUGCAUGCCUUGCCCUGUGCUGCUUGGGCACCAUUGGUAACUGUACAACCAGGUGCCCAGCCAGUGAGCAGUUGGUUUUAGAAUGCUCAGGGCUUGGUCAAAAUAGGGGGCAGGGCCCCUGUCCCCUGUAUAAGGGCACCUGGCUAGGGGCACAGAUGGGCUGGGUGGGAAAUGAAGGGAGGUUGGGGGUAGAGAGGACUGAAAGCCCUGCUACUGCCAUUACCUGUUAUAGAGCAACACCCUGGUGAUAUGCUGGGGUGCUUACAGAAGUACGCGUCCCUGUUGAAUCCUCUGAGUGUUGUACCGUCAUAAUAGAGCAUUUCUUUGUUGCUCUGAUAGGUUGUGACAUGCCCAGCACUGCCUGGAGUGUGGUGAUGAGUACCAUAUCACCACAAGACUUCAAGGCCUAAGGUUUGUGGUUCUGCGGCUAACAAAUCAACUGAUGGAUGGGAAAUCGGGGAAUCUCAAACAGUAUGAUACUACCACUGGUGCACCAGUGUGGUAGUGAUCAGUGCCUGCUGUUCUUCAGCUCUUAGCAAUCCCCCAUCAGAAAGGUCUUUUGAGAGGAUGGGCGAGGUAGACAGUUGCCUGAUGUUCUCCAUCUCCAAGGCACCUAUACAAAAAACCUAUUGGUAUUCUUUGAGUCCUUGAAGUACCCUUUCCUGAGGUAAUCUACACCAAGGAUGUGCAGAGCCUCUGGACCAGUCGCAAUGGGGUGUUUUUGCUACUCAUUCUCAGUCAGGCUCAAUUCAGACUCCACUAAAAUUAGCUCCUGGGAUCCCCCUGUCACUCCGGAGGUACAGACAGGUUCUGACCCUUCAUAACUUUAUGGCACUAGGCUCUUAUACUCCUGUGGUUCUGAUGUGCCAAGCCAUUGAAUCCGCACAGCCCAAUAAACCCGAUUGUCCCUUUCCUCCACCUGACUGGAGGCAGGGCCCUUCUAGUUCUGGUUAUUCUAUUCAUCAGUCAUGAAUGCAAACCACAAGGCUGGUUAUCAAACUCAGAAAUAAGGUCAGACCACCUACUCUGUUUGAAGAACUGCCCACUGGAGACUGGAGUGGUCAUUUUCCAGGAAGAACUCUCUUUUGUGAUGGCUUUCCCUCGCAACUCACAUAUCCAUACCUCUAGGCUUCAAGUGAGUUUUCCAUCCCAUUUCCUCAUAUCCUCUCCAUGGCCAUGCAGGUAAGACCACCGGUUAGCACGUGGUGUAUACCCAAUAUAUCUUCUGUCUUGAAUUAAAAAAUGCUUACUUCUGGUAUCUGAGAUGCUAGUCCAUGCAGAUAGGACAGAAGAUUUAUUCCCUUUGAGUUGUUGGGCCACUUCGGAAUGCUUCUCCACAGCUGAAACACAGGCCCUUAGAGAGAAGGAGAGAGAUAUUUUGCUGGAGUUCAUCAGCGAAUUUAUCCACCAUUUGUUCCUCUCCCUCUUUCCAGGUCAUUUCUGGCAGUGAGUUGGCAUACAGAGAUGGUGAACUCCGUACAAACUUACGCCACAUGGAUUGUGGAAUAACACAUCUCAAUUUUGGAAUAAUCAGAAGUUCAGGCCAAUAUUAUGCACCAUCUCCAGCACAGCCAAUUCCCUCAGAUACUGGAUACCUCUUUCCAUGGUGGUCCACUUGCCUGGUUGACAUAAUAUUGUCCCUGUAGGGAUACACUUCCUUCACAGCUGACAGGAAUUGCAUCUAAAAGGGGAGAGAUUUUUUCAUUUUUUGUAAUUGCUUUGUCAAUGUCCCCAUCCCUAGAGAGGAACUGCAGCAACCUGGCUCCCAUGCUCACUGAAUCCAGACUAUCAACACCACAUCCCAGCAUUGAAGCGGCUGGGUGACAGCGUGCUCACCUGGAUGAUCGCUGAAAUCUUUCCACAUAUCUUGCACAGGUAUCAGGCAUCAGGUGGUUAUUGACUCACUUAUAGCCUCUGCCUCUUCCUCCUGUUCUUGUGAUGGCCCUGGUAUAGAGUAGCCUUCAUCAUCCUCUUCUUGCUUCCUUACUCAAUGAGCUGACUUGUACUUCCAUUGUUUCUGCUUGUGCGGGGGCAACAGUUACUGGUAUAGGUUGGAUCUCCUGUUCAACUACAGGGCUUGUCACAGGGGUUGGGUCUACCACAGGGCCUGUCACAUGAAUUGGAUCUGAUCCAGAAGCAUUUUCGUAUUUUUGAGGGUGCUGAAUAGCACUGAAUAUUUGAUAGGUGCAGGCCAGACCACAGCACAGUGCAGUAAGCUGUUACGCUUUGGCAUUGCCAGGAUCAGGUCACACCUUUUUAAAACAUUCUGUCAGCUAUUUUGGAGAUCCAAACCCGCUGGAGGUGAUAAUCAUGAUAGAUGCCUGCCCGUGUCCUCUCACAUACCUUGCCACCCAAACCAUCCUGCCUCAGGAGAGAUCUCUGCGUGCUAUUUUUAAAUAGUUUCUUAACCAUAAAUAAAACCAGAAACGCAUACAGAGGACAUGGCAAUGAAGUCAUUCUAGUUUGAAUAUCCCAGGUAUACUCAAAAUUUUCAACAACUAUUUUAACUCACCUGGAGUAAAGAAUGUACUUGUUAAGUUUCCAUGAUAAAGUUCCUAAAGUGUGAGAAUGUGCACUGCUGAGUACAAGUACCAAAAUAAAUCCACAACCGGAUCGUGUUAUAACAAGAGAAUAUGCUAUAUACAAGCUGGAAACAUCAUAAAUAAGCCUAGACCAGCUUUCAGAGUGAUGAACAACAUGGCCAGAGUUAAGAAAAACAACCUUGAAAGUAAGUAAAAACUGCACUAUGAACAACAGGUUGAGAUAAAAACCAUUUACUAGGACAAAAAAAAAAAAAAAGGAAGAGAUAAAUAAUAGUAAUGAUGCUAAUUAUUAAAUAUACACAUAUAUUUACAAAACAAGUGAUGCACAACACAAUUGGUCAGCACCCGCUGACUGAUAACCAGCCAGUCCCUAAGCAGUGGCUGCUCCCCUUAGUUGUAUAGCCUCCACAUGAUGCCAUGUGGCAUGGAAUACCCCUUUGGGCAGUUUAGGUCAGCUGUCCUGGUUCUGUCCCCCCUCCACUCCUUGUGCCCUACCAGCUUCCUUGCUGUCAGGACAGUACAAGAAAUGGAGAAACUAAAAUGACCUUGGCUCUGUACAGCACUACUCAGUAACAACAAAAACAUCGGUGUGUUAUCAACAUAGUUUUUCUCCUAAUGCCAACACGUAGCAUCAUACCAGCCACUGUGAAGAAAAUCAACUCUGGGACAUACUACAGAGCUGAAACAUACUGCAGAGAACUCAUUCAUUUUCUCUACAGCACAUCUAAACUUUCUCCGUGGCUUCCAAUAUAUCCUCCCUUCCUUAUAUAUAUCAACUACACUGCUAACUUUUGUGCGUAUGUAUCAGUCCUGAAAUUAACAGGAUGGCAAUAGUAAUGAUGUUCAUACUGAGUCUUAAGUUAAUUUGAUUAUUAGUGAUGCACUUUCCUAUUUUUUUUGGACAGGAAGAUGCUUGUGAAGAUUUACUUUCUUGCAUAACGCUGUAUGAAUGGUAGGAAGGAAUAAGAGAUUCUUCAUCGUUUCCUUUUUAAGUUCACGUAGACUGAGAAUGUCAUUCAUAAGCUUCAGUGCUUUAAUUUAAAGUCAUAUCUAUAAAUGACUGUCUUCUUUUAUGCACCAUGUGAUGCUAGUUUCUGUUCAGGUAUAGAGUAGGCAGCAGUUGGUUGAUAUGUGCAGUGCUGACAGGUGACCACCAUUUGCUUUGGUUUGAGAUCUUGGCCAGGGUGUGUUUCUGUCUAGUUUCAGAAAUGGCCAGCCUGUUCUGAGGGAGGUUCCAGGGAACUACAGUCAAGGCAGCUUCACCUCAAACUCUGGGAAUGAUCUGCAGACAUGUGAAGGAAAAGAAAGUGAUGACAAUUUGGAGAGUUGUGGUCUGGAAGAAAUUGCAUUCCUCUGAUGCCUUUACUUUAAAUAUUGCAUGGCUAUGCUCAGGAAGUCCUACAUGAAGAAAUAUUGUAGCAGAGGUGUCUUCCUGGAAAAAUAAAUCCCCUGGGAAAGACAUCCCUCAGAAGUCCAUUCUUUUUAUCUCCAGGUAAGCUAUGUUGCAUGUGUAUUCAAAGGCAGAAUGGAUGUUAAUGCUUGUAGAGCAACUUUGCCUGUAGUAAAGCAGUGUUUCCAAAUCAGAGAACAUAAACAGAAGGAGCAACAUGAGAUGCAUGUAUAACUGUAGCUAUACAAAAAUAAAUGUAAGCCAAAUUUACAGAAGUCAUAGAAGUAUGUAUCUCAAGGCUGAAUGCAAUUAAGUGUAAGGAAGAUGAUUAAUUUUACCCUCAAAUCUUCUGAACUUUGAGCAAAUAUAUAUAUCUUCAUGUAGACGUGCAACAUUUAAAUCUUUAGUAAUGAAGUAUUUUAUGUCUUCUGAACCCUUAAAAUUAGUUCAGAAUUAAUCGGCUUAUGGUCAAGACUUUCCUCUUCGGUUUGUAAAGUGCUGUAAUUGCAGGCAUUACAGACCACUUGGCUUCAGUUGCAGACAGAAGCUGCAGCCUGUCUUUCAGCUCAGACUGACCAUCAGAACUCAGUUCUUCUAAUUUGUCUCACUUCCUCAUGCUGCAUUCACUGUUGUGCUGCUCAGUGCUGUUGUACAGGACAUGCAGAAACUCAGAAGCAAAUUCUGCCUGCAGACUCUGUGUCCAUCCUCUGUGCACUUCUGUGUUACAUGGAGAUUGUGGUUCUCCUAAUGGUAGAAAAGUACUGCAAGAACAUCAGUCCAGUCCAGCAUUUUUCCUGU